UACGUAGGCAGCAAGCGUUGUUCGGAAUUACUGGGCGUAAAGAGUGUGUAGGCGGUGUUCUAAGUUUGUCGUGAAAUCUCCCGGCUUAACUGGGAGGGUGCGGCGAAAACUGGAAUGCUAGAGGAUGGAGAGGUAAGCGGAAUUCCUGGUGUAGCGGUGAAAUGCGCAGAUAUCAGGAGGAACACCGGUGGCGAAGGCGGGUCUCUGGGCCGAUACUGACGCUGAGGAGCGAAAGCGUGGGGAGCGAACAGG
rnacentral:rRNA from 1 species